rnacentral:rRNA from 1 species
UAGGGAAUCUUCGGCAAUGGGGGGAACCCUGACCGAGCAACGCCGCGUGAGUGAAGAAGGUUUUCGGAUCGUAAAGCUCUGUUGUUAAGGAAGAACGAGUGUGAGAAUGGAAAGUUCAUACUGUGACGGUACUUAACCAGAAAGGGACGGCUAACUACGUGCCAGCAGUCGCGGUAAUACGUAGGUCCCGAGCGUUGUCCGGAUUUAUUGGGCGUAAAGCGAGCGCAGGCGGUUAGAUAAGUCUGAAGUUAAAGGCAGUGGCUCAACCAUUGUAGGCUUUGGAAACUGUUUAACUUGAGUGCAGAAGGGGAGAGUGGAAUUCCAUGUGUAGCGGUGAAAUGCGUAGAUAUAUGGAGGAACACCGGUGGCGAAAGCGGCUCUCUGGUCUGUAACUGACGCUGAGGCUCAAAAGCGUGGGGAGCGAACAGG